GAAUGCGAUGACUCACCGGGAGGCCUCACUGUGGCUUCAGGCAAUUUCCGAAGGUCCACUCAGCAGGCCGUGGAGGCACUUCGGGUCUGCCUAGUCACUUCCUUCUCCCUUACUAACACCCUCCAAUACCUAAACAGCACGACAAACUGCUGAGAACCUCACAUCAUGACAAAGCUGAUUUUCACAAGUGUCUCUGGACCAGACAUUCCGGGAGGCGAAUGCGUCGUCCCUCCGCAGCCCCUCCUGCGCUGGGUCAUCAGUGACGCCGCACUCAGGGGGUUCCACCACCCGCACUCUUUUCACUGUGCUGCUUGGGUUUUAAUUCUAAGAGCUACCAUUCCAGUUGGUUCGCUUAGCCAGUACUCAAUAGACAUACUGAGUUUCUAUUUUGUGCCAGGCACUAGGGAAACCAAGAAAGACCUCCUAGGCCUCAGUUUCCUCAUCCGUCUAAGGGGACAGCAGCAGCCAUCUCCUUCACAGGGUGGUUGGAAGAACUGAAGGGAGACCAUGCACGGAAAAGGAUGUAGCACAGUGCUCCACAAAUGCUACAGGAAAGAAGGCUUUCUGCUGGAUUCACUGUCCUGCAGACCCAGCAGGGACAAAGGAGGGAGCCAGGAAAGCACGGGAGACUCUGUUCUCUGCUGGGGAGAGGAGGACAGUAGAGUCUCCACUGAAGACUAACUGGGCCCAAGAGGAGGGCCCAAAAGGAGGGUGGACAGCCUGGGAAGGAAGGCCUAGGAGUGCGGGGGUGAAGCCAGUGAGGGGCCUCGCUGAGCUUGAAGCUGGGAGAGAUGGGGCCGGUGCAGCUCCUCUGGAGAGUCACCUUCCGCCCUUUGUCGCCACACUGUCCUCCCACAACCAUGGUGCUACAGAUGGGCUUCCAAGCCAGGCCUUCUGGAAAGAUCCACAAACAGGCUGCAGGGCCCAGCGCCAAGGACAUCAUGUAGUGAAUAAUGUGCUGCAUAAACUAAAUUAUGAAUUUAUGUGGUGAAUAAACUAAAGAAGGGAACCGGCAGCAGGGAGCUCUCAGGCUGGGAGUGGGGAAUGUUCUUUCAAGAUAUUCCCCCCGCCCCCCACCCCCAGAGGAUUCUAUCUCACAAUGGUUCCUUCCUCUGAGUCUUAAAGGAGAUGAUGAGUCUAUGAGAAGAUGGAUGCCUCUCUCAGGAAGCUAAGAGGAGAGUGUUUCCCUCACUCUUCUGCCAAGUGAUGUUCGGUGCCUGUGAGGGACAGCCCCAGAGCUGCCUCUCCUUCCUGACAGCAUUUUGGGGAAGACCAACGACACAGCCACUUCUAGUUUCUGCAACUCGUUUUUGCUGGAAUUGCCCUCAGCUCUUGCCUGCUAACGGUGCGUCUGAGGGGUUUCAGUGGUUGAUUUUAGACUUUCUCCAGGGUACGUUUUUAACUGUCCAAAAUCCCCUAGAAAACAACCAUCUCCCUUCCGUGUAAGAGCUCUGAGCUGCGUCAUCUCUGUGGGUUUCUUCCUGCCGCCAGGAGCUGGCUGCUGUGCAAAGAGGAGGGAGCCGAAUGUGUGUGCGGUCAUUGUUCUAGAAAUGAGCUCUGAGAAGGUGGGCGGCAGAAGAGGGCUAAGAACUGCAAAUUCCUGGAGUCUUUAGAAAACAAGAAAGUUGUGUUUUUGAGACUCCUCUUGCCUUUUAUUUCUGACCUGCCUUUCCAGAACAGUCUUUGGUACUGCAGGACUAGAUAAAAAUCACAGGAUUAGACAAAAUCGAACAAGAGUCCUGGGAGAAUCUAAGUGUAGCUGACGACUCACCCAGACGGGCCUCUGGACCCCAGACCCAGAAACGGAGGGCCUCAGGAGCUCUGACUAAGCCUGCUGGCCUUGCUAAAAAGGGAAAGAGGUGGAAUGGAUUCUGGCAUUCUCUGGAGGUUUCUGGCCUGACGUGAGUCAGGAGGAUUAGGCAGGGCCUUGCUGACAGGAGGCCUGAUUCUAAAUUUUUGCUACUUCAGUCCUUUCAGUGCCCCAGCUCCUUGAAGCCACACCAGGAGGCCUAACAUCUUCCGCGUUCUCGUGCCAUCUCUUUGUUUACUGCAUUUUAUAGAAUCAGCAUCAUCACUUCUUCCAUCUAAUCUCCUCAUUUUACACAGAAGGAAAUUGCCACUGAGAAGUUAUUUGGGUUCGUGCCCAAGGUCACAGGCUGUCUGUCAGGGGAGUGACUGCAGAAACCAGAACCAAGGGCCUCCUAUUUUUAGCCUGGGAUUUUUUGAGGGUGGGGAGCAGGGAGCACGAGAUGACUGGCUAAAAUGGACUUGUCCUCUUAAUUCGUGUCCCAGGGCCCAAAUGAAGACUAGGUUUCAGACUGAGGCGCAGGGCAAGAGACAGAAUGCUGAAGCACCAGUGGAGAGAGCAGACGCAAUGGGACAUUCUGAAGCUAAAAGGACCACGGAUGCAGGCCAGAGCAAAGAUGCCUUGAAAAAAUUUAGUUUUACAUAAAAGGGAUCCUGAGCUCAAAGAACGGAGAGGAGGGCACAUAAUCAAAUGUAUUAUUAAUCUCCUCAUCAAAGAACAUGGUGAUUUUAGGCUAUCUUGUUUAAAUAAAUCUUCCAGAAAAGAAGAGACUCACUAUAUAAAAAAGACAAGGAAGGAAUUCGAAUAUUUUGGAGACAGCCAGACAUUUUUGUGAAAUGAAAGCUAGGAGAGAUGAGGGCAGUAAAUGUUUGGGCCGAAACAGUAAAAACAGGGGUUAAUACUGCCCAUAAUCUUCUCUAAAAUAUUUUUCAUUUACCAACUGGGGAAAAACAAUUAGAAUUUUCUCUCCGGCCUUGGCAAGCCAUCUCUUUUGGCAUAAGAGAUUCCUGAGUGCUGAGCUUCAUUCAAAUCUCUAUUUCUUUUCCCAAACCCAGAGCAAAUUAAGCAAAUAAUAUACAGUUCAGCCAUUUUAACAGUAUAAGGAAAAUGCUAUAAUCUGUAAAAGGAAUGGAAAUGACUAGUUUAGCGACACUGACAAUUACUGGAAGCAUCUUAGGGCUCUUAACAUUUACUUCAUGGGCUCCACAGUGGGAGAGGGAGCAGAGAUAACAGAGGGGGUCCUAAAUCCACCCCCAGCCCUGGAGAAAGAAAGGGGAAGGGACAGAAGGGCUGGGAGAUGGCAGCAGCUGGGGGCGCAGAGCAGAGACAGGGCGGCAGCGUGAAGUCAAAUCUGGGGAUUCCAGAAUCGGUUCUGGUACUAAUUAGCUGCGUGUGAUUUUAGGCAGAUCACAAACUCCCCAGGCUCCCAAAUUCCAUUUGUAAAAGGAGGUGACCCAACUCAGUUUUCCUCCUUCCAGGGCUCAAGUUCUACCAAAACUUUUCCAAUCCCAGAGCAAACAUCAAGACUGUGUCUGAAGGGAAGCUCUGCGUCUCAGGAAUAUUCCACUCUUCAAAGCAAGCGGGGCGGGGAGAAGAAAGAAAGAUGAAACAAGAACAGUUUUGGCAAGGUCACCCUAGAAUAGCUGCUUUAAAGGCCCUGCUUCUUCGGGGGUGAGGGGAAGGUGGGGCAUUAGCAUACGAGACCCCCCCAGGCGACCCCCAGGCCGGCUCCCCCACCUUGUCACAGCCACUGUCACUUACAGGAGCCUAAGGGGUUUUUAAAAUACAGGGUAGCAAGUUUAGACACGGCCCAUCACUAUUUAAUUGCCAUCCUAACCAACACCACGUCACUAAACUCCUUCUUCCUCUCUUUGAAUUUACUGCCCAAACACAGGCCGUUUCGGAGGUUCUAGAAUAAAGACCCUGGAGGUGAGAGAGGAGGGGAGGGUGGGUGUCACCACCCCGUCCUGUCCUGGGCUCCAGGCUUUAAACGACGCUGCGCCCGGAGCUCUCUCCAUUUUCUCUCACUGCUUGUUUCUUGGCUGCUGGUUGCAGAGGAAGGCGACCUGCUGACAGACCAACACCCAAGGGACGUUACAAUAAAACAUGGCAUUUGCUAAUUACAAGGGGGGUGAUGUGUGAAUUUUUAAUUAGUGGGUGACUGAGACGAUAAUGAGGGAAUGACAAAGGACAGGAGAGGGGAAAGAAGGGCCACGCGGGGCUGGAAACGGAAGGAGGGCGGCAGCCCUCGGCGGGCAGGAUCCGAGGGUCGACCGGGAAGCCCCGCGCCCCGCGGCCACACCCUUCUCUGGACCCGCACAGGCCCCGGGGGCGGGGCGCGCGUGCGCACUGGCGCGCUGCGCCAACCGCCACCGCUCCCGGAGGCGGCUGGGACCGGCUGGAGCCGGUUAGAACCGGCAGCGCCCGCCCGCGAGCCGACGCCUCACAAAGGCAGGCGGCGGCUCACGGCCCGCGGAUCCCUGCGCGGGGCGGGGUGGGUGAGGGCUCGGGCCGCACCCCUCCCCCAGCCUUUGUCCCGGUGUCCCGGCCGCCCCUCCCUGUCGUCUCCGCGCCCCGCCCGGCCUCGCCCGGUGCUUCUCUGCGCCGCCGCUUUAGCCGUGUGGAAACCGGGGCCGGGACCCCCACCCGGCGCCAUUUUCAUUUCCAAACCCUCAGGCCUCGCCCGGGCCCUGGCUGUCUUUCGAGUCCUUGAGGCGCAGUGGCAGGUCCUGGCGUCCCGGGGUUAGGUCAGCGUCCCUUACGGGGGGAGGGCAGAGGAUGUUCCAGAAAGGAAACUGCUGGAACUGCAGGAGAAGGCCGCAGCUCUCCGGAAGGGCUUCGCUUCGCUCUCGGCUCCAGUUUUAAAUGUCUUAAGAAUGAAGCCAAAGCAGAGAGAACACAGAAUCUGUAAAAUAAACACCUGGAAAAACAACCCCCUAAGCGAAAGGUCACAGACAUUUGGGAACGUGGUCCCAGACUGGUGCCCCAGGUCGCUGUCCUUGCAGCAAAAGCACUGACUUUCCUGGUAAAGAGGACACUAAACCUAGGUGUUCACAGGGGACGUAGAUUUGGCAAACUUUAAAGAGAGGGAAGCCUGGAAGUGUAGACACGGGUCACUUUUGCAAACAAAAAGCUACUCCAGGCUUGAUGUAAAAUGUCACAGCAGGCAACCCAAAGCCGAGGGGUCGAGCUAGCAUUUGGUAACUCCAGAAGCUGCCAGAAGGACAUGAAACAUGUAAGACAGGGAACAGCCCAGCCGCCACCUCAGAGCUUAGCAGGCCCCCAAUAUGGGUUGUGGCUUCUGGAGACAUUUUCUUAAGUGCAUUUCCAAAUUUAGGAGAAUUUUAAAGAAGAUAACCCAGAUUUCUGGAAUCAAAGGGCCAUCCAAAUGUGUACAGAGCCACAGGACAACUGGCGGGAGUUGACGCAGUUUGGGGAGACCCCCCCCGCCCCCCACCACUUUGUUACAGCUUCUAAAAUGGCUGGGGUGUUGCAAGGCUGAGGCUCAGCCACGUAAUGGAAACUCAGGCCGUCAGAAACGCCGUUGUAACCCCCCUUCAAAAAGCACUAACGAGUACCUACCGGGCUCCAGAAAGCCUUAAAAGGUACUCAAGAAUUAUCAAGCAAGUCCCAAGUAAUGGCUCUGAGUUUUUGUGAACUGUUGGAGUGUUGACUUCUAUGUGAUUUUCACCUAAAUUUUGAGCUCAAAUCUACUUGCUAAUAAGUCUUAAAUAUUUCUGGGUACAUAGUUUACAGACAAGUUGCAUAAGCUUUUAGAAAAAUCUAGAAAGGCUUCUAAACGAAAUUCUAUUUUUAACACUUCCGAGGGACUAUUUUUGCUUCCCUCACAAAGACGGCGGAGGGUUAUUAAAUUCAGCGGGGUGAGUUGUCCUUGGUCUAUAAAUACGCGGCUCCGGACGCAGCGGCAGGCAUUCAGGCAGCGAGCGCAGAGGAGGCUGGGGAGGGAGGAGGAGCUGCUUAAGGAAACCGCAGAUAAGUUGCGUUAUUAGAAAUAAUAGAAGUUAGUACAAUUCUUUAGGAGAUGUAAAUAGCGAGAAUACUUAAGUUAAUGCUUAGCAUUAAAUUUUUAAAGUAGUUUCGAUAAUAAGAUCUUGCCGAAGGGAAAAUAAUGAAGACUGACUUGAAAAGUAGUUUGAGAAAGGAGGAGAGAAGAAGAAAGAUAUUUCUAGAAUAUGAGGGAGGUUAAGAGAUGAAGCUUAGUAAUGGAGUGAAAUAAUUUUAAAUAGCUGAAAGGACUGCGAAGUCCGAAAUCAAAACGGCGUUAAAUUGAAGAGCAGCGUUUUAGAUUAACUUUAAAACGUAGAUGACGUAAAUAGAACCUAAACGUUUUAGAAAAUGAGGUUUUAGAUGACGAAAAUAUUUUAAACGCCGUCUCUUAAAAAGAUUAAAGGUGAUUUAAGAGCGAGACCUUCAUGUUCGUGGCGCAGGAAAGGUGAUUUGAAGCCUAGUUGGUCUUAUGGCAUUAUUUGCUAAAAAGUGAUAGUAAUUGGGAGUGGCAGGAUAAAAAUUUGGAGAAAGAAGAUUAGAAAUUAGAAGUGGAAAACUCAGAAGACAGAAGUACAGGAAGGUGAAGAAAAGACUUAGAAGAUAGGAAAAAUAGAAGAUAAGACGCCUCUAGAAGACAGAAAAACUAAUUUCAAACCCAAAAGGUAGGAAGCAGAAGAAAAAGUAUUUAGACAAACUAGGAAACCAAAGCAGCUAAAGGACCAGAUAGAAAUUAAGUAGAAAACCAGAAGAGAGAAAAAAACAAGGUUGAAAAUACAGUCAAGGAGAAGUGUUUCAGAUAGAAAAUGAAAAGCUAGGACAAACUAUUGGAUACGAGCAUACAAGAUAGACAUGACAAAAUUAGAAAAAUUUAAAGCUAAAAAAUUGGAUAAAGUACAAGAGCAGAAAAACAGAGGAAAUUAGCUUUUUAUAGUGAUAGGAAUUUUUUAAAAGCCUAUCAAUUUAAUCUCCGGAGAUGCGGAAGUUAGAAUUGAGAAGAUGAGGGUUAAACUACUGUAGACCAGGACCAAUUUAGAAGAAUUUUCGGAAGCUAGAAGAGAAAUCAGUUAAAAAUCUCAGCCAAAAGCUACUAAGAGGACUGAAGUAAUUUAAUAAAAAUUAAGAAUGGUUUUGGAAGAGUUGAAAAUUUGAAAUGCCUUAAAUACAGUAGCUUAGUUUUCUUUGGAAAAUUUAAAGGACUUUGAUAACAAUUCAAGAUCAAGAAUACUCAGCAAUUUAACCAUUUGGCGCUGGACUUUGAGCUCAGAUGAUUUAAAUGCCGAGGACUAGCGUUAAUUGACAGCUGACGCAGGUGCUACGCAGAAGUGGAUUCAGUGAUCUAGGAAGACAGGAGCGGCAGACAGGAUCCCGGGAGCCAGUGUGCUGAAGCUAGGACGGAGGCCGAGCGGCCGUUCGCGGUGAAGAUAGGAAGGAGCCCGGGAGCCAGUGCUUGUGGUGAAGGCAGCUAGGAAGAAGGAAGGAGCGCUAACGCGUGGAGGCGCAGCUAGGCCAGAGCCCGGGAAGCAGGAGCCGGUGCUGUGUGAUGAAGCUAGCGGGCGGCUUGGCGGCUUGGCUUGGCGACCCCGCGGCGGCGGCGAGCAGGCGGAGUGGAGGCUAGCUAGAGCAUCCUAGAGCAGCGCCCGGUGUGCGAGGCCGCGGGGAGAGCGAGUGGCGUGGUAAAGAUCCGCGAGGUCGGCAGUACCGUGCUGGGUUGUUGUUGGUAACUUGAGCGUGGUAACCUUUCCUUAUUUUCCUAACGGUAACGGGGGAGUUGCGUACUUAAGCGUCAAGGGAUUUACUACGGGGAUGUAGGCCGAUUUCCGGGUGUCGUAGGUUUUUCUUUUUCAGGCUUGUUUUCUCAUGCAUCUUGUCUGAAGCUUUUGAGGGCAGACUUCCAAGCCCGGAGGAAUGGUAGAUGGCAAGUUUUUUUUUAAAAAAACCGAUCUGAGGGAAACCAAAUGAAUUUGAUAGAACAACUUUGAGACAAAUGUUGGCAAGUUUUAUACGCAGUUUCUAUUUUUAGCUUGGAGUAAUGAAGCAUUUCAGUUCUGUGAAUAGAUGACCUAUUUUUCUGUCCUCACCCUGUAUUAAAGUUUUCUAAAGGUGGAGUUGGGGUGUGUAACUUUGGGGGGAGUUUUUGUGGGGUUGGGGGGCAAAAUAUGUUUUGAGUUCUUUUCCCCUUAGGUCGGUCUGUCUAGAAUCCAAAAGGCAGAUGACUCAAGUUAACAGAAAAAAGGAAAAUCCAGUAUCAGGAUAAUCAGAACACCACAGGUUUACAGUUUCUAGAAACUAGAACACGAGCAGCUCUCACUUUGAGGUGUGUGGCGGAAUUAUCCAUUGGAGAAAUGGCUGGUAGUUAUUCUUUUUUCCACCCCUUAAUCAGGUCUUCAAAGUACGUAACCCCUUAAACAUUAUUUUUACUUGAAGUAUUUUGGAGUGGUCUUACCAGGGAAGAGGGUGGGGGAGGAAAUGUGUUUUUUCUAAGAUUUCCACAGAUGCUAUAGUGCUAUUGACAAACUGGGUUAGAGAAGGAUUGUACUGCUAUGCUGUUGGCACGAACGCCUUCAGGGAUUGGAGCUGCUUUUUCCCUUGGAAGAGUAUUCCCAGUUGAAGCUGAAAUUACAGCACAGUGCAGCUUUGGUUCAUAUUCAGUCAUCUCAGGAGAACUUCAGAAGAGCUUGACUAGGCCAGAUGUUGAAGUUAAGUUUUCAAAUAAUGUGACUUUUAAAAUACCUUUCUUAAAAGGGGGUGGGCAAAUUUUGGCAAUUAGUAGUUGGCAGUGGCCUGUUAUGGUUGGGAUUGGGAGGGUUGGGUUUAGGUAAUUGUUUAGUUUAUGAUUUCAGAUAACUCAUGCAGAGAACUUAAAUACUUAGGAUGGAAAAACUAAGGAAAUCUCAACUUCCAAGUUGGCAAGUAACUUCCCGUCCUCUAGGUUUUGUUUUCCCCCAAUUUUUGAAUUGGGCAACUGGGGAAGUUCAUAAAGUUCCUCUGGAUUCAAUGUGUAGGGCCUGGGGAAGGAAAAUGUUAGACUGGGGGUUGGUCUAGCCCUCGGGGCUGACUUAGAUAAAAUCUUGGGAGUAUUUUAAAAUGCCAAAGUUGUUCAGCUAUGGGAGUGUGUGGUUCUCUUUUGGAAUUUUUUUCAGGUGAUUUAAUAUUACUUAAUACUGCUAUAGGAGCUUCAGAGCAAAGGAAGUGGCUUAAUGAUCCUGAAGGGAUUUCUUCUGAUGGUAGCUUUUAUAUUCUCAAGUAAGAUUCUAUUUUCAGUUGUGUAUAAACAAGGUUUUUUUAGUGUAGGAAAGAUUUUUCCUUCCUAUGAAUGCAAAAGGAGAUGUUAAGGUAUGCUUCAAAAUUAUUGUGAAUUGUGUAUUUUACAUUUGUAUCUUAACUAUUUGUAAAUCAUAACUGAUAAAAGAGGGCGGGCUUUUGUUGAUGAGGGAGGGGAAACCUUUUUUUUUCUGUAGACUUUUUUCAGAUAACGUCUUCUGAGUCAUAACCAGCCUGGCAAUAUGAUGGCCUAGAUGGAGAGGGAACAGCUCCUUGGUGAAUGAUAAGUAAAGGCAGAAAAGAUUAUAUUUCAUAUCUCCAUUGGGGGAAAAGCGUAACCCUGAGAUCCUUACUACUGAUGAACACAUUGUCUGCAUAUGUCAAAAAAAAAUUGAGCCAAUGAAAACUACCAAUUUAAAGUUAAUGGAAUCUACCAUUUUAAAGUUAAUGGAAUCUACCAAUUUAAAGUUAAUGGAAUCUACCAAUUUAAAGUUAAUGGAAUCUACUAUUUUAAAGUUAAUGCUUUAUCAAGCUUAUACCUACAAAAAUAACGAAUUGAUGAGAAAUACAAUGAAGAUCAAAUGUCCAUCUCCAAUUACUGCUUUUACAAAAGCAGAAUAAAAAAGCGAAAUGAAAUGAAAAUGAUACUACAUUAAUCCUGGAAUAAAAGAAGCUCAAGUAAUUCAGAGAUGAGUGGGAUCAAGUGGAUUGAGAGGAAGCUGUGCUGUUGCCAAUCUUUCGUUUACCUCAGACAGGUUUCUCUUCAUUAUCAGAAGAGUUGCUUCAUUCCAUCUGGGAGCAGAAAACAGCAGGCAGCUGUUAACAGAUAAGUUUAACUUGCAUCUGCAGUAUUGCAUGUUAGGGAUAAGUGCUUAUUUUUAUUAAGAAGUUCUUAAAUAUUGAACUUGGCCAUUUUUCCUGAUCCCUUCCCUAGGGGAUUCCAGGAUUAUGAGGAAUUUUCCCGUCUAGCCUUUUUAAAAUUAGACACAACUCGUGCCUGUGGGCUUCCAUGAUGGGCUAGCACACCUCACUCAGAGGCAAGUAAUUCCUUAAAAGCCUCUUGAGAUUAGUGCCUUAUUCAUAAGGUAACAUAAACUAAGAGAAUUUGUUUAGCAUUGAAUCUCUGAAAACCCUAUGAAAAGAUAGCGUAAAGUGCUGUUAAAACAAUCAGAUAUUUUAAUGUUGCUAAAACUUAAAUGUGAUGUAUAUUGUAUAGAAAACCAUUAAAUCGUUCAAAAUAAAACAUUUUAAUAGAGAAUGUAUGCUUUUAGAAAGCUGUCUCCUUAUUUUAAAUAAAAUAUUGUUUGUUUGUAGUUAGUGCUGGGCAAUCUUGGGGGGAUUCUUCUCAUCUUUCAGAAACUUUGUCUUCGAACACUCUUUAAUGGACAAGAAAGAUCAGGAAUUGAGCGGAAGAACGAACUUAACUUUCUUAAGGCAGGAAAGACAUUUUAUCCUUCGUAAAGUGAUGAGCAUUUUAAUAAUUCCAGGCAUAUGGCAAUAGAGGCCCUCUAAAUAAGGAAUAAAUACUACUUAGACAGGUGGGAGAUUAUGAUCAGAAUAACAGGUAACUACACCUACCCUGUUUCUGGACAGGAGUCUAAAUUGAGCCUUGUUACACGAGAGUAAUGAUUCUGUCACGUUUCCAAAGUUUGCAUGUUAACUUUAAAUGCUUAUAAACCAUCUCAUCUAGUGUUAGCCAGUGUUUGUACUAUUAGGCACUUGGGGGUCUUGUGGGUUUUUAAAGAAUUUUCCUUUGCAGAGGCUUCAUUUCAUCCUUCAUGAAGCUGUUCAGAAUAUUGACUUGCAUAUAAGCGCUUGGCUCUGCCUUCUAUUCUCCUAGUGAGUGUGUGAGAGACCUUGCAGUGAGUUUAUCAGCAUACUUGAGUACAUUUUUUCCCCCUGAUUUUGGAGGGAAGGGAGGAGGGGGGUGGGGCUUACUUGUUUUAGUUUUUUUUUGCAGACUACAAAGAGAACGCAGUUGUCUUGACCUCAGGUCUGUCUGUUCUGUUGGCAAGUAAUAACGCAGUACUGUUCUGAUCUGCUGCUAUUAGAAUGCAUUGUGAAACGACUGGAGUAUGAUUAAAAGUUGUGUUUUCCCCCACUGCUUGGAGUAGUGAU